GACGAACGCUGGCGGUGCCCCUUAUGCAUGCAAGUCGAGCGCACCUUCGGGUGAGCGGCGGACGGGUGAGUAACGCGUGGGAAUGUGCCCUUCUCUACGGAAUAGCCACUGGAAACGGUGAGUAAUACCGUAUACGCCCUCAGGGGGAAAGAUUUAUCGGAGAAGGAUCGGCCCGCGUUAGAUUAGGUAGUUGGUGGGGUAACGGCCUACCAAGCCUACGAUCUAUAGCUGGUUUUAGAGGAUGAUCAGCAACACUGGGACUGAGACACGGCCCAGACUCCUACGGGAGGCAGCAGUGGGGAAUCUUAGACAAUGGGGGCAACCCUGAUCUAGCCAUGCCGCGUGAGUGA
rnacentral:rRNA from 1 species